rnacentral:rRNA from 1 species
UACAGAGGUCCCAAGCGUUGUUCGGAAUCACUGGGCAUAAAGAGCACGUAGCUGCGCGCUAAGUCAGGUGUGAAAUCCCCCGGCUCAACCGGGGAACUGCCACCUGAUACUGGCGUGCUCGAGGACGGUAGGGGUGAGUGGAACUCCAGGUGGAGCCGGUGAAAUGCGCAGAUAUCUGGAGGAACACCGGUGGCGAAAGCGGCUCACUGGAC